GAUACCCCGGGAAACUGGGGAUAAUACCCUAUAGGUUACAGACGCUGGAAUGCCCUGUAACCGAAAGUUCCGGCGCCUCAGGAUGGAUCUGCGGCCGAUUAGGUUGUUGUCGGGGUAACGGCCCAACAAGCCAGUAAUCGGUACGGGUUGUGGGAGCAAGAGCCCGGAGUUGGAUUCUGAGACACGAAUCCAGGCCCUACGGGGCGCAGCAGGCGCGGAAAACUUUACAAUGCGGGCAACCGUGAUAAGGGAACCUCGAGUGCCUGUAUAUGCAGGCUGUCUGAGUGUCUAAAACACACUCAAAGAAAGGGCCGGGCAAGACCGGUGCCAGCCGCCGCGGUAAUACCGGCGGCUCGAGUGGUGGCCACUUUUAUUGGGCUUAAAGCGUUCGUAGCUGGGUUGUUAAGUCCCUUGGGAAAUCCGGCGGCUCAACCGUCGGGCGUCUAAGGGAUACUGGUAAUCUUGGAACCGGGAGAGGUGAGGGGUACUUCGGGGGUAGGAGUGAAAUCCUGUAAUCCUCGAGGGACCACCUGUGGCGAAGGCGCCUCACCAGAACGGCUUCGACAGUGAGGGACGAAAGCUGGGGGAGCAAACCGGAUUAGAUACCCGGGUAGUCCCAGCCGUAAACGAUGUGCGUUAGGUGUAUCGAUGACCACGAGUCAUCGAGGUGCCGAAGGGAAACCGUGAAACGUACCGCCUGGGAAGUGCG
rnacentral:rRNA from 1 species